AGAACGAACGCUGGUGGCGUGCUUUAUACAUGCAAGUCGUGCGGUAGAUAGGAGCUUGCUUCUAUUGAGAGCGGCGAACGGGUGAGUAACACGUGAAUAACCUGCCUUUUAGUUGGGGACAACCAUUCUAACGGAUGGCUAAUACCGAAUAUUGAGGUCGACCUCCUGGUUGAUUUUCUAAAGAAGCUUCGGCUUCGCUGAGAGAUGGAUUCGCGUCUGAUUAGCUAGUUGGUAGGGUAAUAGCCUACCAAGGCCACGAUCAGUAGCCGGCCUGAGAGGGUGAUCGGCCACAUUGGGACUGAGAUACGGCCCAGACUCCUACGGGAGGCAGCAGUAGGGAAUUUUGCGCAAUGGACGAAAGUCUGACGCAGCAACGCCACGUGUGGGAUGACGCAUUUAGGUGUGUAAACCACUGUCGACGGAAUAAACUACGGUUUUAAUAAGAUCGUACUGAAGGUACCUGUAAUAGGAAGCACCGGCUAACUUCGUGCCAGCAGCCGCGGUAAUACGAGGGGUGCAAGCGUUGUUCGGAAUCACUGGGCGUAAAGGGGGCGUAGGCGGGAAGCCAAGUCAGUUGUUUAAUCUUGAGGCCUAACCUCAAUCUUGCAAUUGAAACUGGUUUUCUUGAAUUUAUCAGAGGCAGACAGAAUUCCUGGUGUAGCGGUGGAAUGCGUAGAUAUCAGGAAGAAUACCUGUUGUGAAGACGGUCUGCUGGGAUAAAAUUGACGCUGAGGCCCGAAAGCGUGGGUAGCGAACAGGAUUAGAUACCCUGGUAGUCCACGCUGUAAACGAUGCAUACUAGGUGUUUGACCGAUUAGGUUGGGUGCCGUAGCUAACGCGUUAAGUAUGCCGCCUGGGGAGUACGCUCGCAAGAGUG
rnacentral:rRNA from 1 species